AGAGGCCCUCCGCGGCCGGGGUGAAACGCUUGCCUUGUCGCCGCGGCAACAAAGCAAGUAUUCCGCCAGGCCGCUCAUGCGGCCUGC
rfam:Myotis lucifugus cont2.29434, whole genome shotgun sequence.